rnacentral:rRNA from 1 species
GGGGAAUAUUGGACAAUGGGCGCAAGCCUGAUCCAGCCAUGCCGCGUGAGUGAUGAAGGCCUUAGGGUUGUAAAGCCCUUUUGUCCGGGACGAUAAUGACGGUACCGGAAGAAUAAGCUCCGGCUAACUUCGUGCCAGCAGCCGCGGUAAUACGAAGGGGGCCAGCGUUGCUCGGAAUCACUGGGCGUAAAGGGCGCGUAGGCGGCCAUUCAAGUCGGGGGUGAAAGCCUGUGGCUCAACCACAGAAUUGCCUUCGAUACUGUUUGGCUUGAGUUUGGUAGAGGUUGGUGGAACUGCGAGUGUAGAGGUGAAAUUCGUAGAUAUUCGCAAGAACACCAGUGGCGAAGGCGGCCAACUGGACCAAUACUGACGCUGAGGCGCGAAAGCGUGGGGAGCAGA